CAAGUACUCCCUCCGUCCGGAAUUACUUGUCAUCAAAAUGGCUGUGUCUAGAACUAAAAUACAUCUAGAUACAUCCAUUUCAAUGACAAGUACUUUCGGACGGAGGGAGUACAAG
rfam:Triticum aestivum genome assembly, contig: Triticum_aestivum_CS42_TGACv1_scaffold_327056_4BL